AUGCCUUAAUGAGGACAUUUUCUCAGUAAUUCCUUAAACCUUUCCCAUGCUUCAAACAAGAUUCCCCGUCAGUUUGGAAGAAUUUGUUAAUCUCUCCUCUCAACCU